CUCACACCAUCGGAUGUGCCCAGAUGGGAUUAGCUUGUAGGCGGGGUAACGGCCCACCUAGGCGACGAUCCCUAGCUGGUCUGAGAGGAUGACCAGCCACACUGGAACUGAGACACGGUCCAGACUCCUACGGGAGGCAGCAGUGGGGAAUAUUGCACAAUGGGCGCAAGCCUGAUGCAGCCAUGCCGCGUGUAUGAAGAAGGCCUUCGGGUUGUAAAGUACUUUCAGCGGGGAGGAAGGUGGUGAGGUUAAUAACCUCAAU
rnacentral:rRNA from 1 species